UACGUAGGGGGGCAAGCGUUGUCCGGAUUUACUGGGCGUAAAGAGCGUGUAGGCGGCCAAACAGGUCCGUUGUGAAAACUGGAGGCUCAACCUCCAGACGUCGACGGAAACCGUAUGGCUAGAGUCCGGAAGAGGAGAGUGGAAUUCCUGGUGUAGCGGUGAAAUGCGCAGAUAUCAGGAAGAACACCCGUGGCGAAAGCGGCUCUCUGGAACGGUACUGACGCUGAGACGCGAAAGCGUGGGAGCGAACAGG
rnacentral:rRNA from 1 species